GAGAGAGAGAGAGAGAGAGAGAGAGAGAGAGAGGAAACUUGAUACUCUUGUUUAAAACACAGAACUAAGCUCUUUCUUAUUUUGGAAAUUUCACAUCCACAUUUUGCUUCAGUGUAUUUAUAUUUCUAUCCUUCUUUCCUCACAUGUAUUUUCUUCUAAAAAAUGCUUUGUUUUAUCUUGAAAGACUCUAGAACCCAUUGCUGGUAGGCCUUUUUGAUUUUGAAGUCCUGAGCUGAUGCAUUUAAGUACUUCAAGAUACAUAUUACACAGUGUGUGAGGAGUAUGCUUUUCUUUUGGAAAGAUGAGAAACAGGAGCUGUGGAAGGAACUGGGAGUCAACAGGAUGAAGCCGCCAGGUUUCAAGCAUGUAGAAUCAGAAUAUUAAACUCCAGGAAAGUUACAUUCACUGGAAACCCUAAAUUUGAGAACAUAUUUGCACAUGAGGCACAUGCCCCUCACUUUUGAUAGUGGUGGGGCUGGAAUCCAGGUUCUCUCACAUGCUUGGCAAAAAUUGUACCACUGGUCUGCACAGCAGGCUCCUGAACCCCAUUUAUAGAUCCCUGGACGUACAGCAUGGGGGCAGUGAUGAAUGUGGAGAGACUUUCACAGUUUGAAAACAACCUGGAAAGUAGAAGCUACCCAUCUUUGAGUUUGUGUUGCAUUACUCAGGAGGUUGGGGACAUGGAUAGUGGGCCACUGGUGUUAUUAAUGAUGGUCCUUAAAGCAAUGUAGAGUUCUGUGCAGCUGGUCCCUAUCCCAGAAACUGAGAGUCAGGUUCCGUGGAGGCGAGACCUGCUUAAUCCAGAUAUUGCUGCAUCAAAGGUUACUCUCAUCCUAGCCAGUGGCCUCACUCGGUUUGUAAUCGGUUUGUAAUCGUCAAACUCUACAAGGACAGGUACUAUUUCCAUUUGGAUCCGAUGAUCCACUCUGGGACCAGGGAGUACCUGACCCAACUCAGAGCUGAAUCAGGAGUUAACAUCCUGUAUCCUCACUCUGUCCUCUACUAUCCAUGAACACAUCACUUGUAGGGGACAGAGGUGGUGAGUUAAAAAAAAAAAAGCCAGCAUUCAUACCGUGGGCUUCCUGUCGCUCCUCAAGCAGCCGAAAAUAGCUUGGCAGUAUCUCUGGUUAAGGAGACUGUCUCCAGAGUGCGCAACUCCACGCCCCUAAGGGGGAGGAUCAUGGGUAGAUCUGGGCCUGCGCCUGGACAGCGGACUACAGCUCCCAGAACGCUCCGGAGCACCUAAUGGGCCUUAAAGGGGAAGAGCCAGAGUCACUCAGGGUCUCUGCUUUCCUGGCCCCCACUCAGAAAUUCCUUCAAAGACUCUGAACUUCUCAAUGGAUGACCCAGAGGAAGAGGACAAGACUGAUGGGCUCCUGACAGUCUGUUCGGAGGUCAGCUGGAAUUCUUUCCUUACUCAGAGAAAAAGAGUAAGAAAUUCUUACUUAGAGAGGACACUUGGGAGAGUCUAAAAGGCAAAGUCAGAUGGGACUCAAGGACAACCAGAAGAAACCAUUACUGUCCCAGGCAAACUAUGAAUAUCUGGCAGACU